rnacentral:tRNA from 1 species
GUGUCGAUGCCCGAGCGGUUAAUGGGGACGGACUGUAAAUUCGUUGGCAAUAUGCCUACGCUGUUUCAAAUCCAGCUCGGCCCA